UACCUGAAGAUGUUGGAUCAGACAUUAGUGUUGUGGUUUCAUUGGUUGUUGACUCUGUUCCAUUGCCUGGAGUUGUUGGCGCUGGUUC